rnacentral:sRNA from 1 species
CUGUCCUCUCUGACACCACCCCGGCCUGCCUCUUUGUUGCCAUGAGAGCUGCCUACCUCUUCCUGCUAUUCCUGCCUGCAGGCUUGCUGGCUCAGGGCCAGUAUGACCUGGACCCGCUGCCGCCGUUCCCUGACCACGUCCAGUACACCCACUAUAACGACCAGAUCGACAACCCAGACUACUAUGAUUAUCAAGAGGUGACUUCUCGGCCCUCCGAGGAACAGUUCCAGUCCCAGCAGCAAGUCCAACAGAAAGUCAUCCCAGCCCCAACCCCAGAACCAGGAAAUGCAGAGCUGGAGCCCACAGAGCCUGGGCCUCUUGGUAAGGGCUUUCUUGACAGCUGGAAAAAUGGAGGCACGGCCUGAAGUUGGGGUGGAGUAGGGGGUGGUGCUGGUGGGCUGGAGGUCUUUGGCCCUUGCCCAUGUGGGCUCUUGGCAGUGUGGGCAGUAUGACUGCCGUAGGCUGGCAUCACCAGGCCCCCCAGGCAGCUCCAGGAGGUCCCACCUGUCCCCAGCGUGCCUGGCUGGAGGCUAAAUUGGCAGCCUAGGAAGGCCCCUGACCUCACAGAUACUGGGAGGGGCAGGGAGUGUGCUGGGGGCUUCCUGCCAGCCAGAGAGACUGGGUGGUGCACAUGUGGAGGCGAGGAAGGGC